rnacentral:lncRNA from 1 species
UCAGCAAAGUAAUUUUCUCUCUGUUCUCUUUACAAAUUCAUAUCGAUUAAAGAAGUGUCAGGCUUGUGGAAGAGACUGCUGGACUCACGCUCUUCUACUUUCUGGUUUCAUGGCUGGGCUGGAGACGGUUUUUCUUAAGAGGGAUCUUGAAGGCCUAUUCUUAUCUUAUACAUGGAUUUGUGACUGGAACUAAUACACCCAUCUUGAGACCAUAAAAAGAAGGCUGAGAGAAUUUUGGAUACAGCUCCGAUGUUGAGCCCUUGAACAAAUAUCAACACUGAUUUUCCUCUGGACAUCUUGUCAAAUAAAAACAAUGAACAUCUAUUUAUUUUAAAAUAGCUGCAUUUGGAUUUUCUGCUACUUGCAAUUGAAAAUAUUGCUAAUUAAUAAUUUACCCAUGGACUUUAUUCAGUAGCCA